CUUUAGGCCUUCGGGACAGGAGAGACAGGUGGUGCAUGGUUGUCGUCAGCUCGUGUCGUGAGAUGUUGGGUUAAGUCCCGCAACGAGCGCAACCCCUAUCUUUAGUAGCCAGCAGGCAAGGCUGGGCACUCUAGAGAGACUGCCGGGGAUAACCCGGAGGAAGGUGGGGAUGACGUCAAAUCAUCAUGCCCCUUAUGAUUUGGGCUACACACGUGCCACAAUGGCGUAAACAGAGGGAAGCGAGCCCGCGAGGGGGAGCAAAUCCCAAAAAUAACGUCCCAGUUCGGAUUGUAGUCUGCAACCCGACUACAUGAAGCUGGAAUCGCUAGUAAUCGCGGAUCAGAAUGCCGCGGUGAAUACGUUCCCGGGUCUUGUACACACCGCCCGUCACACCAUGGGAGUCGGAAAUGCCCGAAGUCUGUGACCUAACCGCAAGGGAGGAGCAGCCGAAGGCAGGUCGGAUGACUGGGGUGAAGUCGUAACAAGGUAGCCGUAUCGGAAGGUGCGGCUG
rnacentral:rRNA from 1 species